rnacentral:rRNA from 1 species
AUGGCAACGACAUCACCGACCGAUGUUAAGCGCAAGUACUCAUGGUGGUGGGACAGUCAUAUCUGCCCAAAGAACUCCAAAUGGCUUCAGGAGAAUCUCGAAGACAUGGAUAGCAAAAUUAAGCUGAUGAUCAAAAUCAUUGAAGAAGAUGCGGAGUCUUUUGCAAAAAAGGCGGAAAUGUACUACCGAAGGCGACCUGAGUUAAUGGCCUUGCUUGAGGAGUUGUACCGUGCAUACCGAGCUCUAGCUGAAAGAUAUGAUCAUGCAGCCGGGGACCUCCGACAGGCCCAUAAAAAAAUAGCAGAAGCAUUCCCUGAUCAGGUUCUUAUGGACCCAGAUGAUGAUCUGCCAGCUGAAUCUGCAACAACUGAAACUGACCAGGACAAUGCAGAAAUGGCUCGAUAUUUCCUGUCUUUCAUGAAUUCUGGUGAUCCAAAAAUGCAUGGCAAAGAUGACCAAGACUACGAGAAGCUGCAGAAUGAACUAGCAAGCCUGACACAGGAAAACCAAGACCUGAAGAAGAGGAUCACAUCAGUGCUAGAACAGAGCAACUGUGCAGAGUCCGAGGUUCUUUGUCUCAAGGAGGCUCUUGCGCAGCAAGAGGCAGAGAAGGAAACUGCAGUUCUGCAAUGCCAACAAUCCUCUGCUAGAUUACAGAACCUCCGAUCUGAGAUAUUGCAUACCCAGGAACAGUUCAACAGACUGAAAGAGGAGAUGCAAACUGGGUUGCUGCCUUCAAGCACAGCGGACGAGGAGCGUUUCCAUGUGCUCGAAAGAGAUAACCAGGACUUGCAGUUGGAAGUAGAGAGGCUGAAACAUUUGCUGAAACAGAAGCAUGAUGAGCUAAAUGAGAAGCAAGAUGAGCUGGAAAAACUCAACAUCUCCACAGAAGAGGAGCAUCUCAAGUGCAUGCAAGCAGAAAUGGUGAGCCUCUCUUUGGAGAAGAAGCUGUUAAUAGCACAUGACAAACUGCGGCUUUUGGCUCUUGAGAAGCAGAGAGAAGAAAGCAAAGUGAAGGACAUUGAAACAAGCAAGAUUGUGCUUCAGAAAGAACUGGGCAGUAUUCUAGAAGAGAGCAAAAGGCUGGCUCUUGAGAAGCAGAGAGAAGAAAGCAAAGUGAAGGACAUGGAAACAAGCAAGAUUGUGCUUCAGAAAGAAUUGGACAGUAUUCUAGAAGAGAACAAGAAUCUGACUAGCCAAUAUCACUCUUCUUCAGCUGUGAUAAUUCGUCUGCAGGAUGAGAUCAUUUCCAUGAAGAAUGCGCAACAAAAACUUGAAGAAGAGAUUUGUAAACAUGUGGAUGAGAAGAAGACACUUCAAUACGAGCUUUCACACCUGAAGGAGGAUAGGAGUGAACUGGAGAGGAAACACUUCUCGAUCAAGGAGCAGAUACAGUCGGUGAACGUAAAUGUAGAAUCACUUCAAACUCUUGCACAUGAGUUAAGGGAUGGCAAUGUUGAGCUGAAAGACAUCAUCAAGAACCAUGAGAGAACAGAGGCUCUUCAUGCCGAAAACCUGAGGCAGUUGGAGAGGAUGUCUGAGAAGAAUGCACAUUUGGAGAAGUCCUUGGCAGCUUCAACUACUGAGCUAGAAGGGUUAAGAGAAAAGAAGGCGGUGUUGGAAGAAUCAUGCAAGGAACUCAAUUCCAAGAUAUGCAGUCAUCUGUCUGAGCGAGCUGCGCUUGUUGCGCAGCUUGAGGCAAUUUCUCAGACCAUGGAGGUGCUGCUCGAGAAGAACACCGUUUUGGAGAAUUCCUUAUCUGAUGCCAAUGCUGAACUGGAGGACUUGAGGAGGAAGUUGAAAGAGCUGGAAAAAUCUUCAGAGUCAGUCAACAGUCAGAAUUCAGUUCUUCAAUCUGAGAAGACAACUCUUGUUUUUCAGGUUGAUAGCAUCAGCAAUACUCUCGUGAGUUUACAAGCAGAAUACACAGAGCUAGAAAGACGACACUCAGCUCUACAACAGGAGAAAGACUCGGUGCUUGAUGAAGUGAUCAAGCUACAAGAGCAGAUAAGGCUCGAGAGGAAAGAACACCAAGAUCUUGCACUCUCAGCAAGCAAGACUCAGUUUGACCUACAGAACAAAAUUGACCUAUUGCUAGAGGAAGGCAGGAAUAGAGAGGAGCAGCUUCAAGAGGAGGAGAUGAAGAUUGUCAAAGCUCAGACAGAGAUCUUCAUCUUAAAAGAGUGUUUGGGCGACAUGGCUUCAGCAAAUUCAGACUACUUGGCAAAACUGCAAAAGAAGGAAGAAGCAUGCAAGGUUCAUGAGGAGAAAUUGGACUGCUUGUCACAGGAUAAUCAGAAGCUAACUGAAGGGAUCGGUUCAUUACGGAGUGUCUUACACUUGGAUGAGAAGUAUGAGUCCUUAGACCAAAUGAAGCUUGACAUCAUUUUGCAGCUCAUCUUGCAUGAGGUCAACUGCUUAAGGAGUACAAUAUCUGAUGCCCAGGAUGCGAGACAGAAAGAGCUUGUUGAGAAGUCUCUUGUUGUCACACUUCUGGAGCACUUUGGGCAGGAGGUAGCCGACCUGCGGUCGGAGCGCAACACCCUCAAGCAAGAUCAGCAAGCAAAGAGCGAGGAGUUGCUCCAGCUGCAGGCAGAAAGGCAGGAGCUUGCGGAGAUCAGCGAUGAGUUCUGGGAAGAGAUGGAGUCUCGUAACCAGAGAGUUGAUGACUUGAGAGCCGAGGCAAAGUUCUUGGUUGGACAGUUGUCAGAACUUCAAGAUUCUCGGAGGUCACUGCAGAGUGAGAUUAUAAAGCUGAUUCAACAAAACUCUUUGCUGGCAAAUGAGCUACAUGACUCCAGGGAGAAAGAGAUGAUCUUUGAAGAUGAUUUCAGCGUUCUCAUGAGCGAAGCCGUCAGCAAAGAUAUCCUUCUUGUGAUAUUUAGAAGCCUUCAUGAAGACAGGUCCCUGGAGUUGAAGUCUUUGCAUGAUGAUUUUGUGUGCCUACAAGCUGUAGGAAGCGAGCUUUGCAAGGACAUCAGGAUGAUGAACAAGAAGCUUGGUGAUUUUGAAUUCCUGGACAACCACCUCGGCAAAGAUACAACCAUGAGCAUUUGUGACCGGUCUAGUGAAGAAAAUAAUCACAAAGAAGUUGACGGCGCUGGCCUUCAAGAAUCAAAUGAAAUGCUACUGGAGGAGAUACUCAAGUUACAUGGAAAUGUGGAAAUGCUUAUGAGCAAGGAGAAGGCUUCUGUCGACAUCAGAUCCUGCAAUGAAGAGAUCACAAAAUUGGUAUCCCACAUGCACAUGGCCAUCAUGAAUGCAGCUCUGUUCAAGGAGAAGAUCAUUGAGCUCAUCGUAACAUGUGAGAGCUAUGAGAUAAGUGCCAUGGUGCAGAAGGAGGUGCUCAAGGAAGAUAUCACCCGAAGGAAUUCGUAUGUGGACGAGCUGAAAGACAAACUAAAUGCUGUAGAGAUUGAGAACAGAAGACUGAAGGUCGAUCUGAAUGGUGACGUCACGAUGUUAGGAUCAUUGCAGAGCGAAGUCAGUGCCCUGGAGAAACAAACCGUGUCCCUUGCUAAUGAUUUCUUGCAAUCAAAUAAACUCAAAGUGGAGGAAAAUGCAUCAUCUCCUCAGCCUCUGGAAACCAUAGCGGGAUCCAGUGAUCAGAAUGCAAAUGAAACAGUAAAAGAAAUGGAGCUGCAAAAAUUGCGUGGAACAAUCAAAAGGCUCCAGAAUGUGGUCGCGGAUGCGGGUGUCCUUCUCGAGCAAGAGAGGCUUGGUUUCAAUGCCAAUCUGCAAGAAGCGAGGAAGCAGAUCGAGGCGCUGAAGCUCAAGGAGAUCUUGGAUGAUGACUUGGUUGAAAUGAACUACGAGCAAAUGUUGAAAGACAUACAGCUUGAUCUCAUCCAACCUUCUUCAGGCCGUCGAACCGAGGCCCUUGGCCAGCAAAAGAAAAUAGCAGCACAAGCAGAUCACAAGGUUCAUGACCUUGCUGGACCAAGCAAUAGCCAUGCGCGCGAUGAUUUGGGACCACCGCAGAGUGAGUCAUUUGACAGUGGCAGCAGCAGACAGUCUCCUGCUGAGCUAGUGGCGGUGAAAGAGCUGAGCAUUGUGAACCAAGAGCUACCAAGGUCCAUCACCACGGAGCCACACCAGGAGUGGAAGAACAAGGUCAUUCAAAGGCUAUCUUCUGACGGGAAGAGGCUCAGCACCCUCCAGUCCAGCAUUCAAGAACUCAAAACGAACACCGAGGCAUCGGAAGAGCUCGAGCUCGAGAACGUCAGAUACCAAAUAAGGGAAGCUGAGAGCACCAUCAUCGAGCUGAUUGACACCAACAGUAAACUUGCCAAGAAGGCCGAAGAGUUCACGUCGGCCGACGGCCUUGAUGGGGACAACAUUGACCUGAGGAGCAGGCACCAGCGCAAGAUCCUGGAGCGUGCAAGGAAGAUGUCAGAGAAGAUUGGGAGGCUGGAGGUGGAAAUGCAGAAGGUCCAGCAGGCUCUGGUGAAGUAUGAAGAGGAGCAGACGAGCGCCGCGACAUCGAAAACCGUGGUUCAGCGGUCGAAGGUGCAGCUGGUGGACUAUCUCUACGGUCGAAGGCGGGAAAGUCGGAAGCCGCGAUGCUCGCCUUGCGGUUGCAUGAGAGCGAAAACCAUCGAUGACUAA